GACGAACGCUGGCGGCGUGCUUAACACAUGCAAGUCGAACGGAAAGGCCCUGCUUGCAGGGUACUCGAGUGGCGAACGGGUGAGUAACACGUGGGUGAUCUGCCCUGCACUUCGGGAUAAGCCUGGGAAGCUGGGUCUAAUACCGGAUAGGAGCCAUUUUUAGUGUGAUGGUUGGAAAGUUUUUUUCGGUGUAGGAUGAGCUCGCGGCCUAUCAGCUUGUUGGUGGGGUAAUGGCCUACCAAGGCGGCGACGGGUAGCCGGCCUGAGAGGGUGGACGGCCACAUUGGGACUGAGAUACGGCCCAGACUCCUACGGGAGGCAGCAGUGGGGAAUAUUGCACAAUGGGCGCAAGCCUGAUGCAGCGACGCCGCGUGGGGGAUGACGGCCUUCGGGUUGUAAACUCCUUUCGCUAGGGACGAAGCUUUUUGUGACGGUACCUAGAUAAGAAGCACCGGCUAACUACGU
rnacentral:rRNA from 1 species